rnacentral:rRNA from 1 species
AGUCACUGACAUUAGAUACCCCCUGUAGUCCAGGGUGUAAACGCUGCAGACUUGGUGUUGGAGGCCCUUUGGGGGCAUUCAGUGCCGGAGAGAAGUUGUUAAGUCUGCUACUUGGGAGUACGUCCGCAAGGAUGAAACUUAAAGGAAUUGGCGGGGGAGCACCGCAACGGGAGGAGCGUGCGGUUUAAUUGGAUUCAACACCGUAAAACUCACCAGGGAAGACUGUUACAUGAAGGCCGAGAUGAAGACUCUGCUAGAUUUUCAG